UGUUGGGGGCGGGCAGAGGCGUCGGCGCUGCCCCGGCGAGGGGCCGAGCCGGCGGGGCGCGCAGAAGCCGGCCCGAGCCCGGGCCCGAGCGCGGCUCCGCUCGGCUCCUGUGCGGCUCCCGGCGGGCCCUUCAGCCCCGGCCGGCCCCGGCGCGGCAGGGCACGAUGGCGCCCGGGCUGGGGCCGUGGCUCCUGGCCUUGUCCUUGGCCGCGGGGCCGGCAGGGCUGUGGGCGCAGCUGAGGCUGCUGGAGGACGGCGGAGGGCUGCGAGCGCCCGGGGAGACCGUGCGCCUCUCCUGCCGCGGAUCCGGCUUCAAAUUCGGGAGUCACGCUGUUUGGUGGUACCGUCAGGCAGCCGGCGGCAGACUCGAGUGGGUGUCCUUCAUCAGCGCUGAUGCCUCAGUGAUUCAAUUGGGGCACUCAGUGGAGGGUCGAGCCACUGCCUCCCGGAACAGUUCCCGGUCCGUGUCAUUUCUGUCCCUGCGGGCCCUGCAGGCCCGGGACUCUGCCCGCUACUUCUGCACUGUUGCACGGGGACAGGAAAUCCAGCUGAGCUUUAACACAAACCUCCUGCCAGGGUCCCAGCUAUGGGCCUCAGAGCUGGAAAGGAGACUGUUCUCACAGCUGUUCAGUGCUGCUCCCAGAGAGUAGUGUCGUUACAGCAUACAGUUUACAAACGUUUGAUUCUGACAGGGACGUUCUCAGUGCUUUUGUCCCCUUCUGCUCUAGCCCUUCUGCUUGCCUUCUUCCCAUGUCUCACACCAAUCCUCCCUCCUCUCACACUCUGACACCUCUUCACCUUUGGAAACCAGUUUUGCUGUUUCCUGCAGUUCCCAAUAGGACAGCUGCCCAGUGAUGGCCCAGCUGGUGAGAUGUGUGAAUAGCCCUGCACUGGUUUUGGGC